AAUCAACGCUGGCGGCGUGCCUAACACAUGCAAGUCGAACGCGAAAGUGGAGCAAUCCAUGAGUAGAGUGGCAAACGGGUGAGUAACGCGUGGGCGACCUACCUCAGAGUGGGGGAUAACCUUCCGAAAGGAGGGCUAAUACCGCAUGACAUACCGUGUUUGGAUACACGGAUAUCAAAGCCGGGGAUCGCAAGACCUGGCGCUUGGAGAGGGGCCCGCGUCCGAUUAGCUAGUUGGUGAGGUAACGGCUCACCAAGGCUCCGAUCGGUAUCCGGCCUGAGAGGGCGGACGGACACACUGGAACUGAGACACGGUCCAGACUCCUACGGGGAGGCAGCAGGUGGGGAAUUGUUCACAAUGGGCGCAAGCCUGAUGACGCAACGCCGCGUGGAGGAUGAAGACUUU
rnacentral:rRNA from 1 species